GGAUGUGAUGGCAAUCUGGCUGUGACAUCUGUCACCCCACUGAUGGGCAGGGUUGAUUCUGCUGAUCAAGCUGGCUAGGCGCGGGUCCCCUUCCUCACCACUCCAUAUAUGUCAAGCUGAACUUAAAAAUUGUUUGUUUACGAUAUUUUUGUGUCUAUAAAUAUAAGGCUUUUAUCUCUACAUUAUAGAAGCUCAGAAAAGGUGCUUAGGACUUUACUUCCUAAGAGCUUGCCUUAAAUCAAUGAGCUAAUGUAAAAGUUUAUCUGCUGUUGAUUUCAGGAAAAGCUUAUGGUAAGUCUUAGA
ensembl:misc_RNA 7SK 7SK RNA